UACAGAGGGUGCAAGCGUUGUUCGGAAUUACUGGGCGUAAAGGGCGCGUAGGUGGCCUGUUAAGUCGAACGUGAAAUCCCCGGGCUCAACCCGGGAACUGCGUCCGAGACUGGCAGGCUCGAAUCCGGGAGAGGGAUGUGGAAUUCCAGGUGUAGCGGUGAAAUGCGUAGAUAUCUGGAGGAACACCGGUGGCGAAGGCGGCAUCCUGGACCGGUAUUGACGCUGAGGCGCGAAAGCCAGGGGAGCAAACGGG
rnacentral:rRNA from 1 species